CAGGUAGGAACACCCGCGAACUUAAGCAUAUCAAUAAGCGGAGGA
rnacentral:rRNA from 1 species